rnacentral:tRNA from 1 species
AUUAAUAUGGCAGAAAAAUGUUAUGAUCUUAAAAUUCAAAAAUAUUUAUAAAUAAAUUAUUAAUA